rfam:Parcubacteria bacterium SG8_24 WOR_8-12_1629, whole genome shotgun sequence.
GGGCCGCUAGCUCAUUUGGUAGAGCACUUCCAUGGCAUGGAAGGGGUGAAGGGUUCGAAUCCCUUGCGGUCCA